rnacentral:antisense_RNA from 1 species
UUUCGCGUUCGGCUUGUUAUCAAUAAUGGCAUUACCAACCGCAUGCAAUAGGUGGGUUUUACCCAAACCUGUACCACCGUA